UGAUUAUUUGAGUUGAGAUUGAUUCUGUCUUUUAAAAUUAAUUAUUUUGAUAAUAUUAAAUACAAGUUUUUGCGUGAUCUUAUUUUAUCUUAAGGAUAAAUUUUAUUUAUUUGUAGUUUUUAAUUUUGGGAUUUACAUAAUUGUGGAUUCAGUUAAUUUAUUUUAGAUCUGUUCAAAGUUGUGCCAGCAAACGCGGUUAUACAUCUAGUUCAAAUUAAUUUUUUUGGUUAGUAUUUAUUUAUUGUUUUGAAAAUUUAAUUUAUUUUUUGAGGUGAAAUUUUUAAUUUAAAUUAUAUUUUUUUGGUUUAAGAUUAUAUUAAAUUUAGAUUAUAAACUAGGAUUAGAUACCCUAUUAUUCUAAAUGUAAAAAGUUUACCAUAGUACUAAUAGUUAUGAUCUUUAAAUUAGAAGGAUUUGGCGGUAAUUUAAACUUUUCAGAGGAACCUGUCCUUUAAUCGAUGGUCCACGUUAUAUUUAACUUUAGUUUUGUUUGUAUAUCUCUGUCAUGGAAUGUUUUAUUAGAAAAUUUUCUUUAAUCAUUAUAAUUUGAAAAAUGUCAGGUCAAGGUGCAGCAAUAUUAAAGGUUGAGAUGGGUUACAUUUAAUGUUAUUUAUUGGAUUAUUUUAAUUGG
rnacentral:rRNA from 1 species